GUAGGGGGCAAGCGUUGUCCGGAUUCAUUGGGCGUAAAGCGCGUGUAGGCGGUUCAAUAGGUCCGAUGUGAAAACUCGAGGCUCAACUUCGAGAGGCCAUCGGAAACCAUUGGACUAGAGUCCGGAAGAGGAGAGUGGAAUUCCUGAUGUAGCGGUGAAAUGCGCAGAUAUCAGGAAGAACACCGAUGGCGAAGGCAGCUCUCUGGGACGGUACUGACGCUGAGACGCGAAAGCGUGGGGGGAGCGAACAGGAUUGGAUACCCUGGUAGUCCACGCCCGUAAACGAUGGGCACUAGGUGUGGGUGGUGUCGACUCCAUCCGUGCCGCAGCUACGCAUUAAGUGCCCCCCGGCCUGGGGAGUACGGCCGCAAGGCUA
rnacentral:rRNA from 1 species